rnacentral:misc_RNA from 1 species
GCAAACUUGGUCAUUUAGAGGAAGUAAAAGUCGUAACAAGGUCUCCGUUGGUGAACCAGCGGAGGGAUCAUUACCGAGUUAUCACAACUCCAAACCCAUGUGAAUCUUACCUUUUGUUGCCUCGGUGGCUGUAUAGGGAGGGGUCAAACCCCCCUAUUCACCGCCGGUGGACACCUAAACUCUGUUUUUUAUGGCAUUCUGAAUAGACUAUAUAAUAAGUCAAAACUUUCAACAACGGAUCUCUUGGUUCUGGCAUCGAUGAAGAACGCAGC